AUGUACCACUCGUACACUCCGGUUCCUCCGCACCGUCCGCACCCACCUGACGACUGCUCGCUACGUUUUGUCAGCC
rnacentral:sRNA from 1 species